rnacentral:rRNA from 1 species
GGGGAAUUUUCCGCAAUGGGCGAAAGCCUGACGGAGCAAUACCGCGUGAGGGAGGAAGGCUCUUGGGUUGUAAACCUCUUUUCUCAAGGAAGAAAAAAAUGACGGUACUUGAGGAAUAAGCAUCGGCUAACUCCGUGCCAGCAGCCGCGGUAAUACGGAGGAUGCAAGCGUUAUCCGGAAUGAUUGGGCGUAAAGCGUCCGCAGGUGGCUAUGUAAGUCUGCUGUUAAGGAGUCUGGCUCAACCAGAUAAAGGCAGUGGAAACUACAUGGCUAGAGUGCGUUCGGGGCAGAGGGAAUUCCUGGUGUAGCGGUGAAAUGCGUAGAGAUCAGGAAGAACACCGGUGGCGAAAGCGCUCUGCUAGGCCGCAACUGACACUGAGGGACGAAAGCUAGGGGAGCGAAUGGGAUUAGAUACCCCAGUAGUCCUAGCCGUAAACGAUGGAUACUAGGCGUGGCUUGUAUCGACCCGAGCCGUGCCGUAGCUAACGCGUUAAGUAUCCCGCCUGGGGAGCACGCAGGCAACUGUGAAACUCAAAGGAAUUGACGGGGGCCCGCACAAGCGGUGGAGUAUGUGGUUUAAUUCGACGCAACGCGAAGAACCUUACCAGGACUUGACAUGUCGCGAAUUUCUGUGAAAGCAGAAAGUGCCUUCGGGAGCGCGAACACAGGUGGUGCAUGGCUGUCGUCAGCUCGUGUCGUGAGAUGUUGGGUUAAGUCCCGCAACGAGCGCAACCCUCGUUUUUAGUUGCCAGCAUUAAGUUGGGCACUCUAGAGAGACUGCCGGUGACAAACCGGAGGAAGGUGGGGAUGACGUCAAGUCAGCAUGCCCCUUACGUUCUGGGCUACACACGUACUACAAUGCUACGGACAAAGGGCAGCAAGCAUGCGAAUGCAAGCUAAUCUCAUAAACCGUGGCUCAGUUCAGAUCGCAGGCUGCAACUCGCCUGCGUGAAGGAGGAAUCGCUAGUAAUUGCAGGUCAGCAUACUGCAGUGAAUUCGUUCCCGGGCCUUGUACACACCGCCCGUCACACCAUGGAAGCUGGUAGUGCCCGAAGUCAUUACCCCAACCGCUUGCGGAGGGGGAUGCCUAAGGCAGGACUGGUGACUGGGGUGAAGUCGUAACAAGGUAGCCGUACCGGAAGGUGUGGCUGGAUCACCUCCU